CGGGGGCCAGCGGAAGUCUUACAAAUGCAGUCGAGCGGUUACAGUGUAAGCAGCUUUGGCCUUCGCUUUGCUGUACGAGUGGCGGACGGGUGAGUAAUGUCUGGGAAACUGCCUGAUGACUGGGGAUAACUACUGAAAACGGUACCUAAUACCGCAAAACGUCUCAACACCAAGGAGGGGGACCUUCGGGCCUCUUGCCCUGUCAUGUGCCCAUAUGGGAUUAGCUAGUUAGUGGGGUAACGGCUCACCUAGGCAACAAUGCCUAGCUGGUCUGACAAGAUGACCGGCCACUCUGGAACUGAGACACGGUCCAGACUCCUACGGGAGGCAGCAGUGGGGAAUAUUGCACAAUGGGCGCAUGCCUGAUGCUCCCAUGCCGCGUGUAUGAAGAAGGCCUUCGGGUUGUAAAGUACUUUCACUCUGGAGGAAGGCGAUGUGGUUAAUAACCGCGUCAAUCGACGUUCCCCGCAGAACAAGCACCGGCUAACUCCGUGCCCUCCGCCGCGGUAAUACGGAGGGUGCAAGCGUUAAUCGGAAUUACUGGGCUUAUAGCGCACGCAGGCGGUCUGUCAGGUCGGAUGUGAAAUCCCCGGGCUCAACCUGGGAACUGCAUCCGAAACUGGCAGGCUUGAGUCUCUUGAGGGGGGUAGAAUUCCAGGUGUUCCGGUGAAAUGCGUAGAGAUCUGGAAGAAUACCGGUGGCGAAAGCGGCCCCCUGGACUAUCACUGACUGCUCAUGUGCCAAAGCGCUGGGGGAGCGUGCAGGAUUAGAUAGUUUGGUUUAUCUAAAUGUGCCACA
rnacentral:rRNA from 1 species